ensembl:snRNA LOC120096761 U6 spliceosomal RNA
GUGGUAGAGCGCGGCAGCAUAUACACUAAACUUGGAACGAAGUAGAGAAGGUUAGCAUGGGCCCUGUGCAAGGAUGACACAGAUUCCUGAUGCGUUCCAUAGUCAC